rnacentral:rRNA from 1 species
CCUACGGGAGGCAGCAGUGAGGAAUAUUGGUCAAUGGACGAGAGUCUGAACCAGCCAAGUAGCGUGAAGGAUGACUGCCCUAUGGGUUGUAAACUUCUUUUAUAAAGGAAUAAAACGAGCCACGUGUGCCUUUUUCCAUGUACUUUAUGAAUAAGGAUCGGCUAACUCCGUGCCCGCAGCCGCGGUAAUACGGAGGAUCCGAGCGUUAUCCGGAUUUAUUGGGGUUAAAGGGAGCGUAGAUGGGUUGUUAAGUCCGUUGGGAAAGUUUGGGGCUCAACCGUAAAAUUGCAAUUGAUACUGGCAGUCGUGAGUACAGUUGAGGUAGGCGGAAUGCGUGGUGUAGCGGUGAAAUGCUUAGAUAUCACGAAGAACCCCGAUUGCGAAGGCAGCUUACUAAACUGUGACUGACAUUGAUGCUCGAAAGUGUGGGUAUCAAACAGGAUUAGAUACCCGUGUAGUC